rnacentral:rRNA from 1 species
CCUACGGGAGGCAGCAGUAGGGAAUUUUCCACAAUGGGCGAAAGCCUGAUGGAGCAACGCCGCGUGGGUGAAGAAGGUCUUCGGAUCGUAAAACCCUGUUGUUAGAGAAGAAAGUGCGUGAGAGUAACUGUUCACGUUUCGACGGUAUCUAACCAGAAAGCCACGGCUAACUACGUGCCAGCAGCCGCGGUAAUACGUAGGUGGCAAGCGUUAUCCGGAUUGAUUGGGCGUAAGGGGAACGUGGGCGGUCUUUUAAGUCUGAUGUGAAAGCUUUCGGCUUAACCGGAGUAGUGCAUUGGAAACUGGGAGACUUGAGUGCAGAAGAGGAGAGUGGAACUCGAGGUGUAGCGGUGAAAUGCGUAGAUAUAUGGAAGAACACCAGUGGCGAAGGCAGCUCUCUGGUCUGUAACUGACGCUGAGGUUCGAAAGCGUGGGUAGCAAACAGGAUUAGAUACCCCAGUAGUC